GACGAACGCUGGCGGCGUGCCUAAUACAUGCAAGUCGAGCGAAUUGAUGAAGAAGCUUGCUUCUUCUGAUGUUAGCGGCGGACGGGUGAGUAACACGUGGGCAACCUACCUUAUAGUUUGGGAUAACUCCGGGAAACCGGGGCUAAUACCGAAUAAUCUAUUUCCUCUCAUGGGGAAAUACUGAAAGACGGUUUCGGCUGUCGCUAUAAGAUGGGCCCGCGGCGCAUUAGCUAGUUGGUGAGGUAACGGCUCACCAAGGCAACGAUGCGUAGCCGACCUGAGAGGGUGAUCGGCCACACUGGGACUGAGACACGGCCCAGACUCCUACGGGUGGCAG
rnacentral:rRNA from 1 species